rnacentral:rRNA from 1 species
UACGUAGGGAGCAAGCGUUAAUCGGAAUUACUGGGCGUAAAGCGUGCGCAGGCGGUUUUGUAAGUCUGUCGUGAAAUCCCCGGGCUCAACCUGGGAAUUGCGAUGGAGACUGCAAGGCUAGAAUCUGGCAGAGGGGGGUAGAAUUCCACGUGUAGCAGUGAAAUGCGUAGAGAUGUGGAGGAACACCGAUGGCGAAGGCAGCCCCCUGGGUCAAGAUUGACGCUCAUGCACGAAAGCGUGGGGAGCAAACAGG